rnacentral:rRNA from 1 species
UACAGAGGUCUCAAGCGUUGUCCGGAAUUAUUGGGCGUAAAGGGCUCGUAGGCGGUUUGUUGCGUCGGCUGUGAAAUCCCGAGGCUCAACCUCGGGUCUGCAGUCGAUACGAGCAAACUAGAGUGUUGCAGGGGAGACUGGAAUUCCUGGUGUAGCGGUGAAAUGCGCAGAUAUCAGGAGGAGCACCCGUAGGCGAAGGCGGCACUCUGGGCCGGUACUGACGCUGAGGAGCGAAAGCCGUGGGGAGCAAACAGG